CAAUAGUAUACUAUUCUAUAACACGCCGGCCUUGUAAACCGGAAAAGGGAACCCCUCACCCUUGCAAU
rnacentral:tRNA from 1 species